CAAUAGCGUAUAUUAAAGUUGUUGCAGUUAAAAGCUCGUAGUUGGAUUUGUGGUUGGAGUGGUCGGUCCGACACAGUGUGUGGGUACUUGACUUUCUCCGUCCAUCCUUGGGUGGAAUCUGUGUGGCAUUAAGUUGUCGUGCAGGGGAUGCCCAUCAUUUACUGUGAAAAAUUAGAGUGUUCAAAGCAGGCAACCGCUCUGAAUACAUUAGCAUGGAAUAACGCUAUAGGACUCUGGUCCUAUUGUGUUGGUCUUCGGGACCGGAGUAAUGAUUAAGAGGGACAGUUGGGGGGCAUUCGUAUUUCAUUGUCAGAGGUGAAAUUCUUGGAUUUAUGAAAGACGAACUUCUGCGAAAGCAUUUGCCAAGGAUGUUUUCAUUAAUCAAGAACGAAAGUUGGGGGCUCGAAGACGAUCAGAUACCA
rnacentral:rRNA from 1 species